AUUGAACUCUAGCGGCAGGCCUAACACAUGCAAGUCGAACGAGUGGCGGACGGGUGAGUAAUAGCUGGGAAACUGCCUGAUGGAGGUGGAUAACUACUGGAAACGGUAGCUAAUACCGCAUACCAUCAGAUGUGCCCAGAUGGGAGUAGCUUGUUGGUGGGGUAACGGCUCACCAAGGCGACGAUCCCUAGCUGGUCUGAGAGGAUGGCCAGCCACACUGGAACUGAGACACGGUCCAGACUCCUACGGGAGGCAGCAGUGGGGAAGAUGGCACAAUGGGCGCAAGCCUGAUGCAGCCAGGCCGCGUGUAUGAAGAAGGCCUUCGGGUUGUAAAGUACUUUCAGCGGGGAGGCGUUACCCGCAGAAGAAGCACCGGCUAACUCCGUGCCAGCAGCCGCGGUAAUAC
rnacentral:rRNA from 1 species